GCCCAAUGCUACAUGCAAAUACAGAAUAGAAAAAUAUAUAAAAGAAAUACUAAUGACUGGAAAAAUAUUCUGAAUUUUCAAAAAUAGAAAAAGAAACUAUAAAUAUUAACUAAAAAUGUGGAAUUAUUUUUAACUAGUGGAGGAAGGGUAGCUACUAGAAUCGGUCCAUGGCGGCACCGGAAAAUCAGAACCAGUGGGCGGAUUCUGAUUUCGCGGGGGCCGGAAAUAACCUAAUUGUUGAUCAGCAAAAAGCAGAGGAAAUGAGGCAGAGGAUGAAGAAGAUGAUGAUAAUGACCCAGAAGAAGAUGCUGCAAGCGAAGGAGCUGAAAUGGAUGAAGAUAAUAAAGGCGAUGAAGAUAGAGAAGAAGUCAUUGAAACAGUCGAUUGUAAAGAUGCCAACUGCUGGUUAUAAAUCAUAUGCUCCAUCAAACUCGAGGGUUGAAUUCCAUGCAAGCCCCCGGUGCUCUGUAACAGCUGGGAGUACUCCAUGUAAUCUCUCAUCGCAUCAGCCUGAGACAGAAAGAACUGUGGCGGCAGCGUCGCCUGCUGCGGUGGCGCUUGAGGUGCUUGAGAUAACAAUGACUGUAACUGAGACGUCGGUUGAAGACCGAUAGGGAUUUGGGAAAUAGGAACAUUUUCCAUUGGAGGUGGCAAUAUUCUGACAUGUUCAGGGAAGUUUAGUUUAGCUCUACUUCCUCUAAAUCUUAACGCGGCUUCAUCGUAGGCUCUGGCGGCGGCCUCU
rnacentral:misc_RNA from 1 species